rnacentral:rRNA from 1 species
CAGCGAAACUGCGAAUGGCUCAUUAUAUAAGUUAUCGUUUAUUUGAUAGUACCUUACUACUUGGAUAACCGUGGUAAUUCUAGAGCUAAUACAUGCUAAAAAUCCCGACUUCGGAAGGGAUGUAUUUAUUAGAUUAAAAACCAAUGCCCUCUGGGCUCUCUGGUGAUUCAUGAUAACUUCUCGAAUCGCAUGGCCUUGCGCCGGCGAUGGUUCAUUCAAAUUUCUUCCCUAUCAACUUUCGAUGUUUGGGUAGUGGCCAAACAUGGUUACAACGGGUAACGGAGGGUUAGGGCUCGACCCCGGAGAAGGAGCCUGAGAAACGGCUACUACAUCCAAGGAAGGCAGCAGGCGCGCAAAUUACCCAAUCCCGAUUCGGGGAGGUAGUGACAAUAAAUACUGAUACAGGGCUCUUUUGGGUCUUGUAAUUGGAAUGAGUACAAUUUAAAUCCCUUAACGAGGAACAAUUGGAGGGCAAGUCUGGUGCCAGCAGCCGCGGUAAUUCCAGCUCCAAUAGCGUAUAUUAAAGUUGUUGUGGUUAAAAAGCUCGUAGUUGAACCUUGGGCCUGGCUGGCCGGUCCGCCUCACCGCGUGUACUGGUCCGGCCGGGUCUUUCCCUCUGUGGAACCCCAUGCCCUUCACUGGGUGUGGCGGGGAAACAGGACUUUUACUUUGAAAAAAUUAGAGUGCUCCAGGCAGGCCUAUGCUCGAAUACAUUAGCAUGGAAUAAUAAAAUAGGACGCGCGGUUCUAUUUUGUUGGUUUCUAGGACCGCCGUAAUGAUUAAUAGGGACAGUCGGGGGCAUCAGUAUUCAAUUGUCAGAGGUGAAAUUCUUGGAUUUAUUGAAGACUAACUACUGCGAAAGCAUUUGCCAAGGAUGUUUUCAUUAAUCAGGAACGAAAGUUAGGGGAUCGAAGACGAUCAGAUACCGUCGUAGUCUUAACCAUAAACUAUGCCGACUAGGGAUCGGACGAUGUUAUUUUUUGACUCGUUCGGCACCUUACGAGAAAUCAAAGUGCUUGGGCUCCAGGGGGAGUAUGGUCGCAAGGCUGAAACUUAAAGAAAUUGACGGAAGGGCACCACCAGGGGUGGAGCCUGCGGCUUAAUUUGACUCAACACGGGGAAACUCACCAGGUCCAGACACAAUGAGGAUUGACAGAUUGAGAGCUCUUUCUUGAUUUUGUGGGUGGUGGUGCAUGGCCGUUCUUAGUUGGUGGAGUGAUUUGUCUGCUUAAUUGCGAUAACGAACGAGACCUUAACCUGCUAAAUAGCCAGUAUUGCUUUGGCAGUACGCCGGCUCUAG